CAAAAACAGUUUUUUCUUGUAUAGCUUCAAAUAGUACCAGAAAUUCACUGAUCGUUUUAUUUUAUCCAAUACACUAACUGUACCGUGUUGAACGCACCUUCACAGCGGUCAAACACAAAAAUCUACGUCUCCUCCGGUUCUGC